GACAACUGAAUCGUUCGAUCGAAGACAGCGGGGGCGCAAGCUUAAUCAUCCCGCCGAGACGAAGAUGAUGAAUUUGUUUUUUCAUUCCUCUUUUCUCGCGAAAAGAGGAAUUUCUUUUUCAACC
rfam:Tenericutes bacterium GWF2_57_13 gwf2_scaffold_885, whole genome shotgun sequence.